UUGAGUUUUAUUUUGUUCUUCUUCUUCUUCUCUUUCUUUUGUUCUUCAUGUCUUUCUCCCUGUUGAUCUCAAAUCCAAUGAAUAUCUUUUUUUUGUGAGGGAUUCAUGUAAAUCUUGAGAUCCAGAUAAAUCGAAGAAGAUGGUGAUCAAUCUGGAAACUGAUUGAGCUCCGAAAAAAGAAGAAAUCACAAGAAAUGAAAAUUAGGGGUUUUGCUAGAAUUGAAUAAGUUGUAUAUUUGGAAGAGGGAUUCGAUUUAGAAAAUGCAAAUGGAGAAUAGAGAUGGGUAUUGUGUAUUGGGAGUAAGGGAGGAGACUUAGCUCCUGAUUCUCUACUCACACGGAAGAAUCAGUGAAUUAGGGUUUUAUGAGAACCAGUGAUAGUGAAAGAAUUGAGUUUCCAAGAUAAAAGUUACUGAUAAUUAAAUCUGGGUCUGUUUUCGUUUCGAUGUUGUGUUGUAGUUGGGCAUUCUGGGUUCGAUUCAAAUUAGUGGAAGAACCAUGGGUUCGAUUCAAGUUGACAAACAUUGAAUCACCACCAAGCUUGCGAAGAUUCAAGCGAAUCAACAACUCUAAAACGAAUUAUACACGUACGUAUGCCGUUCCGAUUUAUUCCCGACUCACGAACCGUUGACCGAACUUGAUUUUUACAAAUCCGAAUAAUACACGUACGUAUACCGUUCCGUACGUAUGUCGAACUAUGAAUUGCUAACUAGGGUUGGUGGAGGAUUUAACAAUAUUUGCUGACUGUUCCGUUUUUAGCACACAAGCUUAAAGGUACUCAGUAACGGCGUCAUUUCCUAUGCUAUUGGAAAUUUGACCAUAUUAAUAAUAGAUAGCGAAGCUCAACGGAACUACUAUUUGAACAGGAUGAGGCAUUAGAGUACGUCCAUGACUGCUCAAGCACCAUUAGGGAAAACUUCCUAAAGAGGAAAUAAAUAUGAAAGAGGCUGAAAAUAGAAGAAAAGGUUUGUUUUUGAAGAUCAAUCUGGAUCUUAGUAGCCAGGAACGUCAAAGGAUAUCUGGUAUCUCCACGAGAUUCACGGUUUUGCGUUCCCAAGUGAGAAACGUGUUAGCGCUCCUAGCAUGCAAAAAACGUGUUCCCAACAUUAAGAACCGUGUGAUUUUGAUAGGUGCUUUGGAGUCAUUGGGAGCAAAAGAAGGAGAAAUCGUCUAUUUGGAGCGUAAAACGAAAAAAGGGAAAUUCACAGGCGAGUGACGGAUCCAGCUUGUCAGUUCUAGGGAACUGGAGGAACAAGAAUUACGAAAACUGAACUGUCAGUCUCGCAGGACCGACAGUUGAAGGGAAAUUGAUAGUUCAGCUGGUUGGCCCUUAUCCAGUACUACAUGGGUGUCUAUAUCACUCUCAUUCCUACACCUGACCUAAAAUUCAGAGAAAUCAUUUUCUCUUAUUUCUAUCCUUCCUGUACUGUCUGAGGCGGCACCAUCAUGAGACUGAGAAAUUGAGAUGAAAUCUGAGAUGGGUUUAUGCAUAGAUCAAACAUCAGCAGAAUCUGGUGAUGGUAAUGUGUGAAUCUGAAGUCGGCACAAGCAUGGAACUGGUGGUAUUGAUAUUUGUAUUCGCUGGUAAUGAAUCUGAGAUGAAAAAGGAUACAGGUAUGGCCUGUGGCAGUGGUGUUGAGUGAUUGCUGCUGUUUGAGUUCAUUACAGGUGGUCAUGAAUGGAGAUUGAGAAUGAGCAGAAGCUGGCUGGGUUGAUACUGAUGUUUGUGACACAGAGAAGGGGAUCUGAGAUUGAAGCUCAGAUGGAGGAAAUUGGUGAAGGUUGGAGCUGUUGGUGAUGAAUCUGUUCAUGGGUUAAGAAGAAAUGGUAGAUGCUGGUGGUGAGAAGGCUUGAAGAUGAGAUAAAUGUAUGUUAGGGUUUGAAUUAGCUCAAGAAUGAUAAAUUGCAGAUGGGUUAUGUUUGAUUUUGAGUUCGAUUGUGAACUUUAGGAGAAAAAUGGAGAGCAUGCAGGAGAUGAAGAUGGGUUUCUGAAAAUUGUUGUCUUGAUGUUCAUGUUGAACUACAUGUCUGGAUUGUUAAGAAUCUGUAUUGAUGUGGCUGGUUCUUGAACACAGUGAAGAUGAUGAUGGAGUUGGUUUAGGUAUGGCUGUGCUGCAAAACAAAAGAAGAGAAGAAAUCUGAAAUCUUGGAUGAGAUGAAAUGGGUUCUGGUGGUUGUUUGCAAGGGAGUCAUGGAGUUAGCCUGGAGAGCUUAAGCUGAUGCAGUUAUAAGGUUUGAGUCUGAUGAUGUAAAGGAGGUGAUCCAUUGCAGGUGCUAUGAGAUGAUUAGAUGUAUGCUUAGGAAUGAUUGGAAGCAUUGUUGGGUGCUUGAACUGGUGAGAUGUUGCAGUUUGAGCAGGGAUGAAGGCAGUGGUGAAUGAAAUUGGCAUUGGAGAUGUUGGGAUGUGAAGCAGAUUGCUUGUUGUGCCAGGAGAUAUUGAAGGCUUGAGCUAUAAUAGUUAUACGUUAGAUUGAAGUUGUUGUUGGCAGGAGACGGAACUGCAGUUGCAGGUGAAGGCUGAGAAUGUUGAGAUAAAAUGGGUUUUGGCUUGGGAUUGAACUGAAAUCAGAGUUGAGUUGAGGUACAGAUGAUGUUGGAGCUGCAGUUUGCUAUGGCUUGAAUGGUGAUGUCCAAGGAAGAUGAUUUUGUAAUUGUUCUGGAGUUGGGACUGUAUUGCAGAAUGGGUGUGUUGGUGAUUAAACCCGAACAAUGGUUGUGUAUAAUGGGAGUUGCAGGAUGAGUUUUGUAGCUGAAAUUGCAAUUGAACAGGAUGGAAGUGGUGGCUUUGAGAUGAAAGAACCAUAGUAUGGUGCUGAGUUCGAGAUGGAAAUGGAAGAUGGUUAUAGAUAUUGCAGCUGAAGUGAAACUAGAGAUGCUGGAGAAGAUGCAGCUGUUAUGAGUCCAAGUGAAGCUGAAUUUAUGAGUAUAUAAGUCAAGAGGAACUGGAAUGACGCUGUAGAAGGUUAAGGCCGGUGCAAGCAACAUCUUUGGCCAAGACCAUUCAGCUACUGAGUUAGACUCUGACUCAGCUCACUCAGCCUUUGACUCAGUGACCUUGACUGAGUUGACUCGAUGACCUGACCAGUUUGACCGGUGACCACUUCUGGAGCAUAUUUUCUGUAUGGGUAUUUUUCACAUAUGGGCUUGGUGGACAUAUUUAUAUUGGACUUUGGAGAUUGGACCUAAUUUUAGAAGUUGGAGAAAAGCUACAAAAGGAAAGUUUUUUUAAACUUUGGUGAUCACGUAUUUUUCUA